UUAGCUUGCUAAGGCCGAUGGCGACCGGCGCACGGGUGAGUAACACGUAUCCAACCUGCCGUCUACUCUUGGACAGCCUUCUGAAAGGAAGAUUAAUACAAGAUGGCAUCAUGAGUCCGCAUGUUCACAUGAUUAAAGGUAUUCCGGUAGACGAUGGGGAUGCGUUCCAUUAGAUAGUAGGCGGGGUAACGGCCCACCUAGUCUUCGAUGGAUAGGGGUUCUGAGAGGAAGGUCCCCCACAUUGGAACUGAGACACGGUCCAAACUCCUACGGGAGGCAGCAGUGAGGAAUAUUGGUCAAUGGGCGCAGAGCCUGAACCAGCCAAGUAGCGUGAAGGAUGACUGCCCUAUGGGUUGUAAACUUCUUUUAUAAAGGAAUAAAGUCGGGUAUGGAUACCCGUUUGCAUGUACUUUAUGAAUAAGGAUCGGCUAACUCCGUGCCAGCAGCCGCGGUAAUACGGAGGAUCCGAGCGUUAUCCGGAUUUAUUGGGUUUAAAGGGAGCGUAGAUGGAUGUUUAAGUCAGUUGUGAAAGUUUGCGGCUCAACCGUAAAAUUGCAGUUGAUACUGGAUAUCUUGAGUGCAGUUGAGGCAGGCGGAAUUCGUGGUGUAGCGGUGAAAUGCUUAGAUAUCACGAAGAACUCCGAUUGCGAAGGCAGCCUGCUAAGCUGCAACUGACAUUGAGGCUCGAAAGUGUGGGUAUCAAACAGGAUUAGAUACCCUGGUAGUCCACACGGUAAACGAUGAAUACUCGCUGUUUGCGAUAUACUGCAAGCGGCCAAGCGAAAGCGUUAAGUAUUCCACCUGGGGAGUACGCCGGCAACGGUGAAACUCAAAGGAAUUGACGGGGGCCCGCACAAGCGGAGGAACAUGUGGUUUAAUUCGAUGAUACGCGAGGAACCUUACCCGGGCUUAAAUUGCAGAUGAAUUACGGUGAAAGCCGUAAGCCGCAAGGCAUCUGUGAAGGUGCUGCAUGGUUGUCGUCAGCUCGUGCCGUGAGGUGUCGGCUUAAGUGCCAUAACGAGCGCAACCCUUGUUGUCAGUUACUAACAGGUUCCGCUGAGGACUCUGACAAGACUGCCAUCGUAAGAUGUGAGGAAGGUGGGGAUGACGUCAAAUCAGCACGGCCCUUACGUCCGGGGCUACACACGUGUUACAAUGGGGGGUACAGAGGGCCGCUACCACGCGAGUGGAUGCCAAUCCCCAAAACCUCUCUCAGUUCGGACUGGAGUCUGCAACCCGACUCCACGAAGCUGGAUUCGCUAGUAAUCGCGCAUCAGCCACGGCGCGGUGAAUACGUUCCCGGGCCUUGUACACACCGCCCGUCAAGCCAUGGGAGUCGGGGGUACCUGAAGUGCGUAACCGCGAGGAGCGCCC
rnacentral:rRNA from 1 species